AAAGUCGUAACAAGGUUUCCGUAGGUGAACCUGCGGAAGGAUCAUUACCGUGUCGCAUACGCGACGUUAAAGAUUUCCACCCUUGCAUUUCGAGUACCCUCUGUUUCCUCGGCGGGCCCGCCCGCCAAUGGGGACCACAAACAAACCUCUUGUAGUUGCAGUAAACGUCACAAAUCAAAAAAAUUCAAAA
rnacentral:misc_RNA from 1 species